CAGUAGGAGAGAACUUGACCUGGAGCUGCCCGGUCCGGUGUGACAUGGCCUUUCUAGCUCCGGUGAUGCUGCUGUUGCUGUGUUGGCACACCUUGUGCAUGGUUUUAGGCCUGACCAUCCCUUGGCUUCGACUACCUUGCUUCUCGCCGUCGUGCUAUGACCGCGAGUUCAUCGUGCCGCAACCACUGUGGUGGUGAUUCUCUGCCUCGUCUACAACCUCUUGAGGUUUCCUCUGUGGCCUCCUGAUGGUGGCCACGAUGGUGAGUGUUGGGUUGACCAUGGCCUCCUGUAGUGCAGUUGUAGGCCAUGCUUGGCCCUCUCGGCCUCCUUUUCUUCCUUUGGUUGGUGACAUGGCCCUUGUGCUCGCCAUACCAUAACCAUGGUGGCGCUGGCCUCACCUCCCUGCUGGUGAUAGGAUGUGCAUGCAGCAGGUUGCUGUGGCCCAUCUCGUGAAGGGGAGGAGUUGAGCUGGAGAUCCGGCCGUACAUGCUUUCUUUGUUGAUUUCAUUGACGCAGUGCCGUGUUCACUGCCUGUUAGGUUAAUAAUGAGUUGCCGGUGGACUGCUGUCCUUGUUUGGCCUGGAGCAUCUACGUGGAUGGAAGGUCCUUUUUUUUUUAUGUAAUGUUGGUAUUAGAAAUUUCUUCGGCUGAUCAUAUUCAACCUAGCGGGAGAGAUCCAUGUAGGUUCUUUGUAUGCCAAAAUUGAGAGAACUAACAUUUCACAAUGUUGAGAGAUGCACAUACUGUUUGUUUUGUUUUCUUCUUCCUUGCUGUAUUGAUGUAGAAUCGACACACUUUUGAAUGUGUGGAACAUAUUACAUAUACUUGCUUAGAAAUAGUUUCCAUUACAUCUCAA